UUUAUUCUGAAGAUUCCAAUA
rnacentral:piRNA from 1 species